GAUCAUGGCUCAGGAUGAACGCUAGCUACAGGCUUAACACAUGCAAGUCGAGGGGCAGCAUGUUGGUUGCUUGCAACCAACGAUGGCGACCGGCGCACGGGUGAGUAACGCGUAUCCAACCUUCCGCAUACUCGGGAAUAGCCUUUCGAAAGAAAGAUUAAUGCCCGAUGGUUUCCCGAAUCCGCAUGAGAGCGGGAAUAAAGAUUCAUCGGUAUGCGACGGGGAUGCGUCCCA
rnacentral:rRNA from 1 species